rnacentral:rRNA from 1 species
GUACACACCGCCCGUCGCUACUACCGAUUGAAUGCGAAGGUGAAAUCUUUGGAUAAGAGGGAAACUUAUACUUUUCUUUUUAGAAAUUGAUUAAACCUUAUCAUUUAGAGGAAGGAGAAGUCGUAACAAGGUUUCCGUAGGUGAACCUGCAGAAGGAUCA